UACGUAGGGUGCAAGCGUUUAAUCGGAAUUACUGGGCGUAAAGCGUGCGCAGGCGGUUAUGUAAGACAGGUGUGAAAUCCCCGGGCUUAACCUGGGAACUGCAUUUGUGACUGCAUAGCUAGAGUACGGUAGAGGGGGAUGGAAUUCCGCGUGUAGCAGUGAAAUGCGUAGAUAUGCGGAGGAACACCGAUGGCGAAGGCAAUCCCCUGGACCUGUACUGACGCUCAUGCACGAAGGCCAGGGGAGCAAACGGG
rnacentral:rRNA from 1 species